rnacentral:rRNA from 1 species
GUGGGGAAUUUUGCGCAAUGGGGGAAACCCUGACGCAGCGACGCCGCGUGAAGGACGAAGGCCUUCGGGUUGUAAACUUCUUUUAUGUGGGAAGAUAAUGACGGUACCACAUGAAUAAGCCACGGCUAACUCUGUGCCAGCAGCCGCGGUAAGACAGAGGUGGCAAGCGUUGUUCGGAAUUACUGGGCUUAAAGGGCGCGUAGGCGGUAUGGUAAGUCUGGAGUGGAAUCCCAGGGCUCAACCCUGGAAUUGCUCUGGAAACUGCCAAACUUGAGUCAGUGAGGGGAGGGCGGAAUUCCUGGUGUAGCAGUGAAAUGCGUAGAUAUCAGGAGGAAGGCCGGUGGCGAAGGCGGCCCUCUGGCACUUGACUGACGCUGAGGCGCGAAAGCGUGGGGAGCAAACAGGAUUAGAAACCCGGGUAGUCC